AGAAUAUCAGCAUAGUCCUUGGCAGUGUAGACCCCAAUCCGCUGGGCAACAGUGGAGUAGUGUUCAAAAAGAUUAUCAUCCUGCCCAUCAUACAUCAAGUGGGCUGGCAUUGAGAUUUUUUUCCUCAUCAUGUCAGCUAAAGCCAAGACAGUGCCAUCUGGGUCAACCUCAAAGAGCUUCUCUACAAUCUUAGUGUAGGCAGUUUCAUG
rnacentral:misc_RNA from 1 species